UACGUAGGGUGCAAGCGUUAAUCGGAAUUACUGGGCGUAAAGCGUGCGCAGGCGGCUUUGCAAGACAGAUGUGAAAUCCCCGGGCUUAACCUGGGAACUGCAUUUGUGACUGCAUGGCUGGAGUGCGGCAGAGGGGGAUGGAAUUCCGGCGUGUAGCAGUGAAAUGCGUAGAUAUCAGGAGGAACACCGAUGGCGAAGGCAGGUCUCUGGGCUGACACUGACGCUCAUGCACGAAAGCGUGGGGAGCAAACAGG
rnacentral:rRNA from 1 species